rfam:Oryza rufipogon genomic scaffold, chr09
CUUCUGCGGCGGUUCCGCGCUCAGCUUUGAUCGUUCGUCUUAUUUAAAAUUUUUUUAUAAUUAGUAUUUUUAUUAUUAUGAGAUGAUAAAACAUAAAUAGUACUUUACUCGUGACUUAUGUUUUUAAUUUUUUUAAUUUUUUUUAAAUAAGACGAACGGUUAAAGUUGGGCGCGGAAAACCAUGGCUGCACUUAUA